rnacentral:rRNA from 1 species
UUGACCUCGAAUCAGGUAGGGAUACCCGCUGAACUUAAGCAUAUCAAUAAGCGGAGGNNNNNNNNNNNNNNNNNNNNNNNNNAGUAACGGCGAGUGAAGCGGUAACAGCUCAAAUUUGAAAUCUGGUCCGUUUACGGGCCCGAGUUGUAAUUUGUAGAAGAUGCUUUGGUGACGAGUCCGGCCUAAGUUCCUUGGAACAGGACGUCAUAGAGGGUGAGAACCCCGUAUGCGGCCGGGUGCUCGAUGCUAUGUAAAGCUCUUUCGACGAGUCGAGUUGUUUGGGAAUGCAGCUCAAAAUGGGUGGUAAAUUUCAUCUAAAGCUAAAUAUUGGCCAGAGACCGAUAGCGCACAAGUAGAGUGAUCGAAAGAUGAAAAGCACUUUGGAAAGAGAGUUAAACAGUACGUGAAAUUGUUGAAAGGGAAGCGCUUGCAACCAGACUUGGGCACUGUGGAUCAUCCGAGGUUCUCCUCGGUGCACUCGGCAGUGCGCAGGCCAGCAUCAGUUUGGGUGGUUGGAUAAAGACUUGUGGAAUGUAGCUCCUUUCGGGGAGUGUUAUAGCCACAGGUGCCAUGCGACCAACCCGGACUGAGGACCGCGCUUCGGCUAGGAUGCUGGCGUAAUGGUUGUAAGCGACCCGUCUUGAAACACGGACCAAGGAGUCUAACAUCUAUGCGAGUGUUUGGGUGUUAAACCCAUACGCGGAAUGAAAGUGAACGUAGGUGAGAACCCAUAAGG